GGAGGGGAGGAGACCGCGCGCGGGACGGGGAGGAAUGGCCUGUCCGCGUUAAACCAUCACAAGCCAUGGUUGCGGAAGGGCCACGCGUCCCCCAGUAGGAGAAUGACUCCGAUUCGUGACCCUCAGCGCCGGUGCAUGUCGAUAUAUUUAUUGAGUGUCUACUGUGUGCCAGGCACUAUAUCUAUGUGCAUAGAAAAACCCUGGAAGGCCAUACAACAAUAUAUAUAGAGUGAUCGUCUCUGCUUGCUGAGCUAACAGGGGUGUCAAGCUUCCAUUUUGGUAUCUACUUCUAAAUACACUCAGAACAGGAGAAAUUUGGACUAAUUUUCAAACUACAGACACUUUCUAAUCAUGAUGCAUUUCAAAAGUGGACUCGAAUUAACUGAGUUGCAAAACAUGACAGUGCCCGAGGAUGAUAACAUUAGCAAUGACUCCAAUGAUUUCACCGAAGUAGAAAAUGGUCAGAUAAAUAGCAAGUUUAUUUCUGAUCGUGAAAGUAGAAGAAGUCUCACAAACAGCCAUUUGG
rnacentral:lncRNA from 10 species